GGACUUGAUUUUCGCCAGACGCUCAGGUGAACUGGGCAUUUCAUUUAAUUCGAGUAAUUCACGCCUUAGCACUGAAUCAAUGGUUGGAAAGAGUAUACUUGAUCAUUAUCAAGUCGAUCACAUUGACAAUCAAGUAGGCGGCAUACACCAAUAUCAGUCCUAUAAUCUCAACAUGGCCUAUUGUGCGGUCAGUAUACAAGCACAACUCCAAUAACAUUGAGCCAAAUAUUAAGAAUAGCAGAUCUCGCACCGUAUUAAAGGCAUGCAUUUCAAAUGUUGUUACAUAGCAGACCAAUCCACCUAUAAACAUUACCACAAACAAUGAUGUUCCAACGUCAUUGGCGAAUACGCAGUCCCGAUCAUUAACUAUAGUUAUUUGAUAUAGCAAAUCUGGUAUCGUAUUGCAUAAUGCCAUUAUCGUGACUCCCGCUAAAUGGUCGUUCAAAUGAAGCACUCGAGAGAUAACCUUCAAUGCCGGAGAAUAGUAAAUAUCCGCCACGUGUUCGGCACAGAGCAGCAGCACAAAGCAUAGAAUCAUAAAGAGACCAACAAAGACAUGUUCUUCAAAACGAUUCCGGCAUUUGAAGCUGCACGCCAAUAGUUGUAUAUAUGGCACGAAGUUCGUGCCAUAUAUGCAACUAUUGGCCUUUCUCACAAAGUCGCAUCUCUGAUCGUACGGAAAUCUAAUUACCGAAUAACAAUUUACUUUCGACCAAAAAUUUUCAAAUUCUUUGUCCAAAUCAUUCUCCUGAUAUACUGUGGUCAUGAUUCUGAAAUGUGUAUAUAUUUCCAAUGUAAGUUAAACAAUUUUUUUUUUUUUGUUGUUGUUUCAAUUGAAAUCUUUUGAAAACUGAAUGUAUUUCGAUUGAAAAAUCAUACAGGUUUUGAAAAAUGAAAUGAUCAUCUGAUUAUAAAUUAAAGUUGCAUAGUGGCACAACAGACUGUUAAAUACUCGCUCGACAUUAAUGGACUCUGGCUUACAACCUAAAAAUGAAUAUGGGCCAUAUCAUUUAUACGAAAACGGCGCAAUAAUCGCUAGAUAUCAUAUGGGAGAUAUCCGAAGAGAUUGAGGUACAAACGAACCCUUCGUCGAGAUUAAUACAAAAGAUAAUUUGCAGAUGGACUUCCAAUAUCAAACUACCAGAAUGCAUUAAUAACAUCAAAAUUUGCUAUGAUAAUUGACUUGAUGUCUUCUUUAUCUUGGUCCAUCAUUAAUGGCAACAAAUGCAACGAAUACUCACCCGACUCGCUGUUAUUCUUCAACGAUUAAAGGAUUAAAUUCGUGUUGGUAAAGAAAACAUGUAGCUAGUAGUAGAAUAUUUAUAGAAUUUAUAGAUCCUCAUUUUUUUUUCAUUUAAUUACAGUUUCGAGCACAAAAUUAUAAUUAUAAAAAUACCGAGUAUCUUGAAAAUAAGUAUUUCGAAAACAAUUAUAUCAGAACAGAUUUUUCUACGGAUGAAUAUGUCAAUGUUAAGUUUCACAAUGUUAACGCAGCUAACAGCGCCAGUCAGUUAACAGGCAAUUGCUAAUUAGACAAAAGUCUUUUUACCCAGAGAAUUUGUGAUAAGUGCGCUCAUUUGCUGUCUACAUACAAUGUAUAUUGAUUAAUGUGAGAAUCUAUAGAGCAAAUUAAGAG